rnacentral:rRNA from 1 species
GACGAACGCUGGCGGCGUGCUUAACACAUGCAAGUCGAACGGAAAGGCCCUGCUUUUGUGGGGUGCUCGAGUGGCGAACGGGUGAGUAACACGUGAGUAACCUGCCCCUGACUUUGGGAUAACUUCAGGAAACUGGGGCUAAUACCGGAUAGGAGCUCCUGCUGCAUGGUGGGGGUUGGAAAGUUUCGGCGGUUGGGGAUGGACUCGCGGCUUAUCAGCUUGUUGGUGGGGUAGUGGCUUACCAAGGCUUUGACGGGUAGCCGGCCUGGAAGGGAGACCGGCCACAUAGGGACUGAGAUACGGGCAAGAGUGCUACGGGAGGCAGCAGUGGGGAACAGUGCACACUGGGCGGAGGGCUGAUGGAGCAACGCCGCGUGCAGGAUGACGGCCUUUGGGUUGUAAACCGCUUUCGCCUGUGACGAAGCGUGAGUGACGGUAAUGGGUAAAGAAGCACCGGCUAACUACGU